GCGGAGGACAUUAAUGAAUUCACUAUGGAGUUGUUGCUGGCCUCUAGGGGCAUGUGCACGCUUCACUAGUCUUUCAACCACCUGUGAACUUUUGAUAGAUCUGUGAAGUCGUCUUUCAAGUCGUCAGACUUGGUUUGCUGGGAUUUAAACGUCUCGGUGUGACAACGCAGUCUAUUUACUUAACACACCCCAAAUGUAUGUCUACGAAUGUCAUUUAAUGGGCCUUGUGCCUAUAAACCAUAAUACAACUUUCAACAACGGAUCUCUUGGCUCUCGCAUCGAUGAAGAACGCAGCGAAAUGCGAUAAGUAAUGUGAAUUGCAGAAUUCAGUGAAUCAUCGAAUCUUUGAACGCACCUUGCGCCCCUUGGUAUUCCGAGGGGCAUGCCUGUUUGAGUGUCAUUAAAUUCUCAAACUCACUUUGGUUUUUUCCAAUUGUGAUGUUUGGAUUGUUGGGGGCUGCUGGCCUUGACAGGUCGGCUCCUCUUAAAUGCAUUAGCAGGACUUCUCAUUGCCUCUGCGCAUGAUGUGAUAAUUAUCACUCAUCAAUAGCACGCAUGAAUAGAGUCCAGCUCUCUAAUCGUCCGCAAGGACAAUUUGACAAUUUGACCUC
rnacentral:rRNA from 1 species